UAAACGGCAUCUUAGAGCGCAAAAGGAUGACAACAACACAUUGUUUCCCAUAGGUUGACUGCUUCUGGUGGCGGCGCCGUGGAGAGACAUUGAACUUGAGUUUACAACAACACAUUGCGUUUACUAACACUGAAAAUCAACCGUGGCGUUCUGUUACUUAAACCAACAAUGACUGCUGACUAUCUCCUGAUCAAGCUCCAGCUGAAAUACUCCAGAGCUUCAGACAGUCAGCGCCAGAUUAUUUUCCUCUCUCAAGCGGUGUGUGUGUGCUGUUGGAACAUACACCUGGCAGAAGAAGAAAUGGGAAACCAAAUGAUACCAUCACAAGGAGCCAGAAACUCACAAGUUGAGGCUGCUGCACUUAUCUUCCCCCUUUCCUUUCUGUCUGCAUUUUUCAGUGUAGCAUUUAGAUUUUAUUUAUUUAGGUAUGUAUUUUUAUUUCUAAAUUUUA